rnacentral:rRNA from 1 species
AUUGAACGCUGGCGGCAUGCUUUACACAUGCAAGUCGAACGGCAGCGCGGGCUUCGGCCUGGCGGCGAGUGGCGAACGGGUGAGUAAUACAUCGGAACGUGCCCAGUAGUGGGGAUAGCUCGGCGAAAGCCGGAUUAAUACCGCAUACGACCUGAAGGUGAAAGCGGGGGAUCUUCGGACUUUUCGCUCUUGGAGCGGCCGAUGGCAGAUUAGCUAGUUGGUGGGGUAAAGGCCUACCAAGGCGACGAUCUGUAGCUGGUCUGAGAGGACGACCAGCCACACUGGGACUGAGACACGGCCCAGACUCCUACGGGAGGCAGCAGUGGGGAAUUUUGGACAAUGGGCGAAAGCCUGAUCCAGCAAUGCCGCGUGUGUGAUGAAGGCCUUCGGGUUGUAAAGCACUUUUGGCGGGAACGAAAAGGACUGUGCCAAUACCACGGUUCGAUGACGGUACCCGCAGAAUAAGCACCGGCUAACUACGUG